UUACGGCCACAUCACGUUGAAACACCGGUUCUCGAUCACCGAAGUUAAGCAACAGCGAGACUGGUCAGUACUUCUAUGGAUGACCGCUUGGCAAAUACCAGGUGCUGUAA